ACGUUUUGUUUCUUUGAGGCAAGGAAACAAGGGCCGAGACGGAUAGCGCGGGGUGUUUAGUCAGCAAGGAAAAAGGAAGGGAAAGAAAAUAUUGUACGCGUGUGUGUAUAUAUAUGUUAAAUAUUUCUACUUCUGUGAUUUAAUUUUUAAAAUAACCAAGACAAAGAUGACAGGUUCAAAUGAAUUUAAGCUAAACCAGGGCCCUGAAGAUGGUAUCUCUGCUGUCAAGUUCAGUCCAAGCACUGCACAGUUCUUGUUGGUUUCUUCCUGGGAUACCACUGUCCGCUUGUUUGAUGUUGGUGGCAACGCAAUGAGGAUGAAGUACCAGCACUCUGCCCCCGUUCUUGAUUGUGCCUUUUAUGACCCCACACAUGUUUGGAGUGGUGGCUUGGACCUGCAGCUGAAAACACACGAUCUGAAUACAGACCAAGAAACGAUAGUGGGUGCCCACGAUGCUCCAAUCCGAUGUGUGGAGUACUGUCCCGAGGUGAAUGUGAUGGUGACCGGUAGCUGGGACAGAUCGGUCAGACUUUGGGAUCCCAGGACUCCAUGUAAUGCAGGAACCUUCUCACAGCCGGAAAAGGUUUACACGCUGUCGGUGGCAGGAGAUCGACUGAUCGUUGGUACAGCUGGCCGGAGAGUCCUUGUGUGGGACUUGAGGAAUAUGGGCUAUGUUCAGCAGAGGAGGGAGUCCAGUCUCAAAUAUCAGACCCGCUGCAUCAGAGCAUUUCCAAACAAACAGGGCUACGUACUUAGCUCAAUUGAAGGUCGGGUUGCAGUUGAGUAUUUGGACCCCAGCCCAGAAGUACAAAAGAAGAAAUAUGCUUUUAAAUGCCACAGGUUAAAGGAAAAUGGCAUUGAGCAAGUUUACCCAGUCAACGCGAUCUCAUUCCACAGUGUGCACAACACCUUUGCUACAGGCGGCUCUGAUGGAUUUGUGAAUAUCUGGGACCCCUUCAACAAGAAGCGUCUUUGCCAGUUCCACCGCUACCCAACCAGCAUCGCUUCCCUUGCAUUCAGUAAUGACGGCUCCACUCUUGCUAUAGCAGCGUCCUACAUGCACGAACUGGGUGACAUUGAACAUCCUGAAGAUGCAAUCUACAUUCGCCAAGUGACAGAUGCUGAAACAAAGCCCAACUGAAGGUCCAUGGCAAGCGAGCAUCUCUGCAUAGCACAGCAUACCCCAAGGUGCACGAAGCCCAAGAUGGAAGAUCUACAAAUGUCAACGUAAAUUCCUCAAACUCAGUUUUUUUUAACACCCUGAAGUCUCCCUUGGUUGUGGAAGUGUCUGCUGGCAUCCAGUCCUGAACCACAGAUACAAAGGUCGAUAAAAUCGCCCUCUUCCUUUUCCUAUUCAUUCUGUCUUUUUGUAUAUUAUGUGUGUUUCCUAUUUCCUUCCCUAAUAAAUUUGUGUCCAAUUGUAGUAAACUGACUUCCUUAAACUGGGGUAAAAAUGAUAUUCUGUAUAGAUCUUUUGUAGAUUUUUUUAUCAGUGUUUUGUCUAUUGACAACAGCAAGAUUUAACUCUGGAAUUCUUCUCUGUAUAAGUUAAAAAAAAAAAAAAAUAAAAAAUAAAUAAAUUUGAUGUAGAGAUUUCCUGUGGUGUGUUUUUCUAUGAUCAUAAAGUCUGUUUGCCCACA